ACAAAAUCGUUCAAAAAUGGUAGUGGAUAGCAUUUCUUCAAAACAAAGUCAUCCCCAUCUAAUUUCUCUCUCUCUCUCCUCUCUCUCUCUCUCAAACAUUAUUACCCAGUUACAAACACACUCUUUUCAUGACAAUUAGGAAUUCCCUUUCAUCUUUAAACCAACCCAAAGAAUACCAAAACGAAAUAGCUAACGUUUUCAGCUCAAAUGGGCUUUAAAGCCAUCGCGUGUGAUAUGAGAAAAACGUACGUCGGCAGAUUCACAGGAAUGCCUUCACGAUGUAGUUGCUGUCUGAAACCGAAAGGGUCUCCCAGAAUUCAUCUGCAAAAUCAGAUUCAGUUCAUAUUUCCUUCUUCAGGUGCCCUGAUAUCUGGCUCAGCAGUCUGCUGUUUUAUGAGAUAGAGCAAGUCACUCAUUCCUGCUGUUUGUGUCGGAGACAACAUAAAAAGGCAAUUUUAUGAUAAGACAGUAUCAAAAAGCUUUUGCAAUAGGCACCAAUACUAGGUAAUUUCUUUCAAGGAAUGUGAUUUUGUUUGCUUUCUUUGCAGGACAAAUGGUCGGUGGAAGCUAAACUUAAAUGCUGUAUUAUUAGGGGGAAGAAGCAGAAGCAGGACAAGUCCACAAAAUCAAAAGAGAGGACCAAAAUCAACCAAAUUUUACAUUGCUAGAUUUUACAUUUGAGUCAAGUCACUCAGGUGGAAACUACGAUUGAUGAAAGAAACAAUCUCUUCUACACAACUUCUUGGCAAAUCUAAAACACUAAAUCGAGGUGUUUUUACAA